rnacentral:rRNA from 1 species
UCAGCACCGCGAUGGUAGCGUUUGAUGCAGAGGGGGGACCCAGGAGGGUAGGCUCCGCGGGCCCACUGGACAUGGUCCGUUCCUGGUCUGUAGGCGUCUCGCCGGAGGUAAAUCCCCGGUGAGGUUAAGCGGAGGGGCCGGGACGAGUAGAGACUUUGUCAACGCGAGGGGGCUCAGCCCACGCUGGCUAGAAAAUCCUCGCUGCUAGUUACCAAUGCGCCCGUACCGCAAACCGACACUGGUAGGUGAUGGUAAGAACCAUAAGGGGAUCGGGAGAACCUUCGUUAAGGAACUCGGCAAAUUAGAUCCGUAACUUCGGGAGAAGGAUCGCCCCUGGUUGUGUAGGAAUUUACUUUUGAAGCAACUGGGGGCCGCAGUGAGCAGGCCCAGGCGACUGUUUAUCAAAAUCACAGGUCUCUGCAAAAGCGAAAGCUGACGUAUAGGGGCUGACGCCUGCCCAGUGCCGGAAGGUUAAGAGGAGAGGUUCACGCCUUGAAUUGAAGCCCCGGUGAACGGCGGCCGUAACUAUAACGGUCCUAAGGUAGCGAAAUUCCUUGUCGGGUAAGUUCCGACCCGCACGAAAGGCGUAACGAUCUGGGCACUGUCUCAACGGAGGACCCGGCGAAAUUGAAUUGACCGUGAAGAUGCGGUUGUCCCGUGGCAGGACAAAAAGACCCCGUGGAGCUUUACUGCAACUUGGCACUGGGAGUGGGUCUGAGAUGCGUAGGAUAGGUGGGAGGCGUUGAAGCGAGGCUUUCGGGCAGCGUGGAGCCAUCCUUGAAAUACCACCCUUCUCUGAUCUGCUUUCUAACUCGCGAGCAAGCGCGAGGACAGUGUCUGGUGGGCAGUUUGACUGGGGCGGUCGCCUCCUAAAAUGUAACGGAGGCGCACAAAGGUUCCCUCAGGGUGGAUGGAAAUCACCCGUUGAGUGCAUUGGCAUAAGGGAGCUUGACUGCGAGACCUACAAGUCGAGCAGGGGCGAAAGCCGGUCAAAGUGAUCCUACGGUACCGAGUGGAAGGGCCGUGGCUUAUCGGAUACAAGCUACCCCGGGGAUAACAGGCUUAUCUUGCCCAAGCGUCCACAGCGACGGCAAGGUUUGGCACCUCGAUGUCGGCUCGUCGCAUCCUGGGGCUGGAGUAGGUCCCAAGGGUUGGGCUGUUCGCCCAUUAAAGCGGUACGCGAGCUGGGUUCAGAACGUCGUGAGACAGUUCGGUCUCUAUCCGCCAUGGGCGUAGGAAGUUUGAGAGGAGUUGCCCCUAGUACGUG